UAUUGGUCAAUGGACGCAAGUCUGAACCAGCCAUGCCGCGUGCAGGAAGACGGCUCUAUGAGUUGUAAACUGCUUUUGUAUUAGGGUAAACUCAGGUACGUGUACCUGUAGGAAAGUAUAAUACGAAUAAGGAUCGGCUAACUCCGUGCCAGCCGCCGCGGUAAUACUGAGGAUCCAAGCGUUAUCCGGAUUUAUUGGGUUUAAAGGGUGCGUAGGCGGUUUGAUAAGUGAGAGGAGAAAUACCGGGGCUUAACUCCGGAACUGCCUCUAAUACUGUUGAACUAGAGAGUAGUUGCGGUAGGCGGAAUGUAUGGUGUAGCGGUGAAAUGCUUAGAGAUCAUACAGAACACCGAUUGCGAAGGCAGCUUACCAAACUAUAUCUGACGUUGAGGCACGAAAGCGUGGGGAGCAAACAGG
rnacentral:rRNA from 1 species